rnacentral:ribozyme from 1 species
CCCGACAGUUGCUGCUACCUUGACGUGGUGGUCGGGCUUGCCUAUCGUGAUGAACCAAUCGAGCCAUAGUGGCUGGAAUAAUCGUUCCUCAAGGUCCUACCAUACUAGGCAGGUCGAUUGAAGAGCGGUAAGACUAAAAGCAGC